rnacentral:rRNA from 1 species
CCCUUAGAUGUUCUGGGCCGCACGCGUGCUACACUGACCGGCGCAACAAGUUUCUUUCCUUGGCUCGAUAGGCCUGGGUAAUCUUUGAACGCCGGUCGUGAUGGGGAUAGAUCCUUGCAAUUUUUGAUCUUCAACGAGGAAUUCCUAGUAAAUGCGAGUCAUCAUCUCGCGUUGAUUACGUCCCUGCCCUUUGUACACACCGCCCGUCGCACCUACCGAUUGAAUGGUCCGGUGAAGCCUCGGGAUUGCGAAUGCUUCGUGCGGACGCGAGGACUUGGCUAAACCUUACCAUUUAGAGGAAGGUGAAGUCGUAACA